rnacentral:rRNA from 1 species
AGCUAUGGCUGUNGUCAGCUCGUGUCGUGAGAUGUUGGGUUAAGUCCCGCAACGAGCGCANCCCUUGUCAUUAGUUGCUACAUUUAGUUGGGCACUCUAAUGAGACUGCCGGUGACAAACCGGAGGAAGGUGGGGAUGACGUCAAGUCCUCAUGGCCCUUAUAGGUGGGGCUACACACGUCAUACAAUGGNUGGUACAAAGGGUUGCCAACCCGCGAGGGGGAGCUAAUCNCAUAAAACCAGUCGUAGUCCGGAUCGCAGUCUGCAACUCGACUGCGUGAAGUCGGAAUCGCUAGUAAUCGUGAUCAGAAUGUCACGGUAAUACGU